rnacentral:rRNA from 1 species
CCUACGGGUGGCUGCAGUGAGGAAUAUUGGUCAAUGGACGAGAGUCUGAACCAGCCAAGUAGCGUGAAGGAUGACUGCCCUAUGGGUUGUAAACUUCUUUUAUAUGGGAAUAAAAUGAUCCACGUGUGGGAUUUUGUAUGUACCAUAUGAAUAAGGAUCGGCUAACUCCGUGCCAGCAGCCGCGGUAAUACGGAGGAUCCGAGCGUUAUCCGGAUUUUAUGGGUUUAAAGGGAGCGUAGGUGGAUUGUUAAGUCAGUUGUGAAAGUUUGCGGCUCAACCGUAAAAUUGCAGUUGAAACUGGCAGUGUUGAGUACAGUAGGGGUGAGGAGGAAUCGUGGGGUAGCGGUCGAAUGCUUAGGU